GGAUGUUGAAGUUAUGCAGAAGGUCUGUCCUAUCAGUAGCCUCCUUAUAAGAGAUGUUAGCACUUUUGGUGAAGGAGAAUAGUUGUGGAUUGGUUUGUGAUGGGAUUGUUCCAUUCCAGAGAUCAUGCCAGAAUAACACCGUGGAACCAUCUGCUAUAGUUGGAAAUGCAAUACCUUUGUAAGUGUCUAGCAGUUUGAUGACAUCUCUCCACCAGAAUGAGCCCCUUCGCUGCUGUCCAGGUAACUUUCCAUGGCUGUAGUAGUUCUCCCAAACAAGAUUCACCCAGGGAAUGUCGGGUUUAGUAUAAAAUUUGUGGAGAUACUUGAGGAGCAUUACAUCAUUAUGUGUUGACAGGUUAGUAACA
rnacentral:lncRNA from 1 species